GCCUUGUGCUUAUAGUAGAAAGGAUCGUUAUUACUAUAAUUAUUAUUAUCAUUAUUAUUAUGAUGAUUAUUAUUAUUAUUAUUAAGAUGAUUGAUUGAUAGAAUCAGUAGAACCUUGUGGUAUCUAAUGGCAUUCUUUAAACAUUUCAAGGUCAACUUUGCCAUUCAUCAUUUUGAGGUCAAUAAAAUAGAGUACCAGUCAUAUACUGGGAUCGAUGUUAACCAUCUAAAGCAGUAUGUGGGUCAACUGCAACCUGUGGCACUUACUGAAGAAUGGCACACCUAAUGGAAAAUUACCUUGGAUAUUUUUCUUAGUGGUGCGGCGCCCUUGAUGGUGAGCCAUGACUCAUGUGGCCCACUUCUCUAAAAAUGUUGCAUUUGCCUGAUGUGAAACUUACCUGAGAUUUUGUGGCCUUAAGCGCCAUGUAGGAAAUCAUUGGUGUUGUUAGGGGCAGGAAGCGAGUUUGCUUGGAUGCUCGGUGUGUAUGUAAUGACAGAACCUUAAUUGAGGCGAUUGUUUGAGGGAAUAAAUAUAAGGGUGCAAGAUAGAAGACUGUGCUUGCAUGUGGAUAUGUGAUGCGUUAUGAUGCAAAGGCCGACAGUUGGUUUUUAAAGAAGUGCCAAGCGAUCCUACGUUGAAGGAAUCGUGCAAAAGAGGAAGAAGUGAGGAGAAAAAUUUGAUCUCAGAGUAAGUGGAAAAUUUCAUGAAAGAAAUGACAAAAAAAAAAUAACUAAGCAGGAAAAAAAAUGUAAAAAAUAAUUAAAUGAAUGAAAAAAAAAAAAACUCAUAGAAUUGCAACAAACAGCCUGACACUGUGCCAGAAAAGACUUGUCCAAGACAUGAAACCAUGGUGAAAUGGACACGAAAAAUUUAAAUAAUAAUGAUGAUGAUGGUGAUGAAGAACGAUGAAUUUCAGGACAUUGACGCAUGCAUGUUUACGGUAUAAUGUAUAAUUUGCUUUAUCUCAAACUGAAAAGCUUUAAAAAAAAAAUAAUUUAAGAAAAAAAAAAAAACAACAAAAAAAAAAAAUCUCUCUCCUCUCCUCCCACCUCCAACCUACCACCCUCCCACUGAAAUGAGAACAAAUAAACGGUGAAAUAUACACAUGCCAUGUGUGUGUCUCGUCACAUGAGUGGUGUGUAUUUCGGUCAAAUAAUAA